UACAGAGACUGCAAGCGUUAUUCGGAUUCACUGGGCUUAAAGGGCGCGUAGGCGGUCGAUCACGUCCGGGGUGAAAGCUUUCGGCUUAACCGGAAAAGUGCCUUGGAUACGGAUCGGCUUGAGGGAGGUAGGGGCAAGCGGAACUUCCGGUGGAGCGGUGAAAUGCGUUGAUAUCGGAAGGAACGCCGGUGGCGAAAGCGGCUUGCUGGAUCUCUUCUGACGCUGAGGCGCGAAAGCUAGGGGAGCAAACGGG
rnacentral:rRNA from 1 species